UAUAUAGUCGUGUAUAGUAUAUAUAGUCGUGUAUAGUAUAUAUAUCCGUGUAUAGUAUAUAUAGUCGUGUAUAAUAUAUAUAGUCGUGUAUAAUAUAUAUAGUCGUGUAUAAUAUAUAUAGUCGUGUAUAGUAUAUAUAGUCGUGUAUAAUAUAUAUAGUCGUGUAUAAUAUAUAUAGUAGUGUAUAAUAUAUAUAGUCGUGUAUAAUAUAUAUAGUCGUGUAUAAUAUAUAUAGUCGUGUUCCUACCCAGUGAAGGCUGGACAUGAUAUUGAAUAGGAGGGAGCCCUAACAUUUAUCCUAUUAUCCAUCAGUAACUGCUGCGAAACCGUUAGAGUUGAGUUUUACGCUACGCUGAGACUAGCUAGCAACUGUCACGUGAGGUAGUGAGGGUCAGGACGUGUGCACGUGUGUAAAGUGUUUCUAAAAGAGAAAAUGCAGUAAUCAUCACAAAGAUUCCAGCAUGAUUAAAAAAAUAAAUGGAUCGGUACGGACGCGGGGUACGACUUUGCACAUGAAAGACAGAUACUGCAGGGUUUAAACAGGCACGACGGAU
ensembl:lncRNA